rnacentral:rRNA from 1 species
AUUGAACGCUAGCGGGAUGCUUUACACAUGCAAGUCGAACGGCAGCGCGGACUUCGGUCUGGCGGCGAGUGGCGAACGGGUGAGUAAUGUAUCGGAACGUGCCCAGUAGCGGGGGAUAACUACGCGAAAGCGUAGCUAAUACCGCGUACGCCCUACGGGGGAAAGCAGGGGAUCGUAAGACCUUGCACUAUUGGAGCGGCCGAUAUCGGAUUAGCUAGUUGGUGAGGUAACGGCUCACCAAGGCGACGAUCCGUAGCUGGUUUGAGAGGACGACCAGCCACACUGGGACUGAGACACGGCCCAGACUCCUACGGGAGGCAGCAGUGGGGAAUUUUGGACAAUGGGGGCAACCCUGAUCCAGCCAUCCCGCGUGUGCGAUGAAGGCCUUCGGGUUGUAAAGCACUUUUGGCAGGAAAGAAACGUCGCGGGCUAAUACCCCGUGGAACUGACGGUACCUGCAGAAUAAGCACCGGCUAACUACGUG